rnacentral:rRNA from 1 species
AUUGAACGCUGGCGGAAUGCUUUACACAUGCAAGUCGAACGGCAGCACGGGUGCUUGCACCUGGUGGCGAGUGGCGAACGGGUGAGUAAUACAUCGGAACGUACCCAGUCGUGGGGGAUAACGUAGCGAAAGUUACGCUAAUACCGCAUACGUCCUGAGGGAGAAAGCGGGGGACCGUAAGGCCUCGCGCGAUUGGAGCGGCCGAUGGCGGAUUAGCUAGUUGGUGGGGUAAAGGCCUACCAAGGCGACGAUCCGUAGCGGGUCUGAGAGGACGGCCGGCCACACUGGAACUGAGACACGGUCCAGACUCCUACGGGAGGCAGCAGUGGGGAAUUUUGGACAAUGGGCGAAAGCCUGAUCCAGCCAUUCCGCGUGAGUGAAGGAGGCCUUCGGGUUGUAAAGCUCUUUCGGCAGGGAAGAAACGGCUUGGGAUAAUACGCCGGGCUAAUGACGGUACCUGAAGAAGAAGCACCGGCUAACUACGUGCCAGCCGCCGCCGUAA